UCGAGAGUUUGAUCCUGGCUCAGGAUGAACGCUAGCGGCAGGCUUAACACAUGCAAGUCGAGGGGUAUAGUUCUUCGGAGCUAGAGACCGGCGCACGGGUGCGUAACGCGUAUGCAAUCUACCUUUUACAGAGGGAUAGCCCAGAGAAAUUUGGAUUAAUACCUCAUAGUAUGUGAGAAUCGCAUGGUUUUACACUAUUAAACGUUCCAACGGUAAAAGAUGAGCAUGCGUCCCAUUAGCUAG
rnacentral:rRNA from 1 species